rnacentral:rRNA from 1 species
UGCCAGCCGCCGCGGUAAUACGGAGGGUGCAAGCGUUAAUCGGAAUUACUGGGCGUAAAGCGCGCGUAGGCGGCUGAUUAAGUCGGGUGUGAAAGCCCCGGGCUCAACCUGGGAACUGCAUUCGAUACUGGUCGGCUAGAGUACGAGAGAGGGGGGUAGAAUUCCUAGUGUAGCGGUGAAAUGCGUAGAUAUUAGGAGGAAUACCAGUGGCGAAGGCGGCCCCCUGGCUUGAUACUGACGCUGAGGUGCGAAAGCGUGGGGAGCAAACAGGAUUAGAUA